GACUCUGUAGCUCAGCUGGUUAGAGCGCUGCACCGAAAUCACAGGGGCUCAGGUUCAAUUCCUGCCAGGGACC